AUGUGUUUUUCAUAAAUAUAAAAUAAAAUCAUAAUUACAAUAUAUUAAUUUCAUUUAUGUAUGUAUAUUAAAAAUUCAGAGAUGUAAGCCAAAAGCUAGUAUUUUUAAAAUGCCGCACAUAAAAUAGAAGGCCAUAGUUUUAAAAAAAAUUAAUGUGAAAGUGUUUUAAAAUCAUGUGAACCAAAUGCGUAUUUGCCGUAUUGUAUAUAGAAGAAUAUUAAAAAGAAAACUUAUAUAUAAAUGAAUUUUAAAAUUUCAAUUAAUUUAGUAAAUAAUACGAAACAUGGAUAUUAAAAUUAUAAAAUUGAAAUUUAUUAAAUUGGAAAUCCAUUGAAAAAGAAAAUGGACCCUGUGCUUUUGGAGACGUUUCAGGAAACUGUUCUCUAAAAAUAUGUGGUUCGUCCAGCGACUAUUUAAACAGUGACAGCUUCAGUGUUGUACAAUAUGGGAACAGUUUUACCACAAAAAUGGGGGAAAAUAAAAUGUGAAUAUACAAUUAUUUUUAUAUUAUAUGAACCUUGAAUUUUCUAUAAAUUUUAUAAUUUAUGAAAUAAUUAUUAUUCAACAAAGAGGAUUAUUAUGAAAAAAGGAUAAUGAAUUAAUAAGAAGAAAAAAAAAAUGUGCAGAAAUAAAAUUUUACAUAAAAUACCAGAAUAAUUAUUAUGAUUUUAAUAAUUCAGAAAAACUAUAAAACGAGAAAUAAUAUAUUCAAUUAAAAUAUAAAAAAUAUAAAGAGUUUAUUUAAAAAAAAAAUUUCAAUAAAAUGGUCAUAACAAUGAAGUAUAAAAGAAAAUUAUUGAAUAAAAAUGACAAGCAGCUAAAAAAUCUGCAAAAUCAAGAUGCCAUAUAAAAUUUUUUAAAGCAAUUGAUUUAAUAAUCAUAUUAUAAAACAAUUCAAUAUAAUUAAAUAAUUUUAAAAAAUAAUUUUAUAUAAAUGUGAAAUCAUUAUUAUGAGUACUUUAAAUAUACUAAAUGCUACUGAGCAAGAAUUAAAUUCGAAUGUGUCAUGGUCAUCAUCAUUUCAAUUAUUGGCAGCAUAUUUGACAACUGAAUAUUUUAAUAAUAUAUCAUCAGUUUUAGCUGAUGAAAUUAUAUUAGAAAAUUACAACAGCAACAAUAAUAAUAAUAAUAAUAAUAAUCUUAAAAAUAAUAAUUAUAAUAAAAAUAAUAUUAAUAAUUUAACAACAAUUAUUGAUGAUUACGGUACAAUAAUUAAUACAAAAUCAAAUAAUAAU